rnacentral:rRNA from 1 species
AGAGUUUGAUCAUGGCUCAGAUUGAACGCUGGCGGCAGGCCUAACACAUGCAAGUCGAGCGGUAGCACAGAGAGCUUGCUCUCGGGUGACGAGCGGCGGACGGGUGAGUAAUGUCUGGGAAACUGCCUGAUGGAGGGGGAUAACUACUGGAAACGGUAGCUAAUACCGCAUAACGUCGCAAGACCAAAGUGGGGGACCUUCGGGCCUCAUGCCAUCAGAUGUGCCCAGAUGGGAUUAGCUAGUAGGUGGGGUAACGGCUCACCUAGGCGACGAUCCCUAGCUGGUCUGAGAGGAUGACCAGCCACACUGGAACUGAGACACGGUCCAGACUCCUACGGGAGGCAGCAGUGGGGAAUAUUGCACAAUGGGCGCAAGCCUGAUGCAGCCAUGCCGCGUGUGUGAAGAAGGCCUUCGGGUUGUAAAGCACUUUCAGCGGGGAGGAAGGCGAUAAGGUUAAUAACCUUGUCGAUUGACGUUACCUGCAGAAGAAGCACCGGCUAACUCCGUGCCAGCAGCCGCGGUAAUACGGAGGGUGCAAGCGUUAAUCGGAAUUACUGGGCGUAAAGCGCACGCAGGCGGUCUGUCAAGUCGGAUGUGAAAUCCCCGGGCUCAACCUGGGAACUGCAUUCGAAACUGGCAGGCUAGAGUCUUGUAGAGGGGGGUAGAAUUCCAGGUGUAGCGGUGAAAUGCGUAGAGAUCUGGAGGAAUACCGGUGGCGAAGGCGGCCCCCUGGACAAAGACUGACGCUCAGGUGCGAAAGCGUGGGGAGCAAACAGGAUUAGAUACCCUGGUAGUCCACGCCGUAAACGAUGUCGAUUUGGAGGUUGUGCCCUUGAGGCGUGGCUUCCGGAGCUAACGCGUUAAAUCGACCGCCUGGGGAGUACGGCCGCAAGGUUAAAACUCAAAUGAAUUGACGGGGGCCCGCACAAGCGGUGGAGCAUGUGGUUUAAUUCGAUGCAACGCGAAGAACCUUACCUGGUCUUGACAUCCACAGAACUUAGCAGAGAUGCUUUGGUGCCUUCGGGAACUGUGAGACAGGUGCUGCAUGGCUGUCGUCAGCUCGUGUUGUGAAAUGUUGGGUUAAGUCCCGCAACGAGCGCAACCCUUAUCCUUUGUUGCCAGCGGUUCGGCCGGGAACUCAAAGGAGACUGCCAGUGAUAAACUGGAGGAAGGUGGGGAUGACGUCAAGUCAUCAUGGCCCUUACGACCAGGGCUACACACGUGCUACAAUGGCAUAUACAAAGAGAAGCGACCUCGCGAGAGCAAGCGGACCUCAUAAAGUAUGUCGUAGUCCGGAUUGGAGUCUGCAACUCGACUCCAUGAAGUCGGAAUCGCUAGUAAUCGUAGAUCAGAAUGCUACGGUGAAUACGUUCCCGGGCCUUGUACACACCGCCCGUCACACCAUGGGAGUGGGUUGCAAAAGAAGUAGGUAGCUUAACCUUCGGGAGGGCGCUUACCACUUUGUGAUUCAUGACUGGGGUGAAGUCGUAACAAGGUAACCGUAGGGGAACCUGCGGUUGGAUCACCU